rnacentral:rRNA from 1 species
CCAUGCCGCGUGCAGGAAGACGGCCCUAUGGGUUGUAAACUGCUUUUAUUCGGGAAUAAACCUCUUUACGUGUAAAGAGUUGAAUGUACCGAAAGAAUAAGGAUCGGCUAACUCCGUGCCAGCAGCCGCGGUAAUACGGAGGAUCCAAGCGUUAUCCGGAUUUAUUGGGUUUAAAGGGUGCGUAGGCGGCUUAUUAAGUCAGGGGUGAAAGACGGUGGCUCAACCAUCGCAGUGCCUUUGAUACUGAUGAGCUUGAAUACACUUGAGGUAGGCGGAAUGUGACAAGUAGCGGUGAAAUGCAUAGAUAUGUCACAGAACACCAAUUGCGAAGGCAGCUUACUAAGGUGCAAUUGACGCUGAGGCACGAAAGCGUGGGGAUCAAACAGGAUUAGAUACCCUGGUAGUCCACGCCCUAAACGAUGAAUACUCGAUGUUAGCGAUAUACAGUUAGCGUCUAAACGAAAGCGUUAAGUAUUCCACCUGGGGAGUACGCCCGCAAGGGUG